rnacentral:misc_RNA from 1 species
GAUGAAGAACGUAGCGAAAUGCGAUACUUGGUGUGAAUUGCAGAAUCCCGUGAACCAUCGAGUCUUUGAACGUAAGUUGCGCCCGAAGCCAUUAGGCCGAGGGCACGCCUGCCUGGGCGUCACACGUCGUUGCCCCCCCAUCUACUCCUUCGGGAUUGCGGGGGGCGGAUGAUGGCCUCCCGUGCGCCUCGUCGCGCGGUUGGCAUAAAUGCCAAGUCCUCGGCGACGCACGCCACGACAAUCGGUGGUUGCGAAACCUCGGUUGCCCGUCGUGUGCGGUCGUCGCGCAUCGAGGGCUCGAAAAAAUUGCCGGGCUCCGGCUCGGCUUUCAACGCGACCCCAGGUCAGGCGGGGUUACCCGCUGAAUUUAAGCAUAUCAAUAAGCGGAGGA